UACGUAGGCAGCGAGCGUUGUUCGGAGUUACUGGGCGUAAAGAGUGCGUAGGCGGUUUUUUAAGUUUGGUGUGAAAUCUCCCGGCUCAACUGGGAGGGUGCGCCGAAGACUGGAAGGCUUGAGUAUGGGAGAGGUAAGCGGAAUUCCUGGUGUAGCGGUGAAAUGCGUAGAUAUCAGGAGGAACACCUGCGGUGUAGACGGCUUACUGGACCAUAACUGACGCUGAGGCACGAAAGCGUGGGUAGCAAACAGG
rnacentral:rRNA from 1 species